UGUCACCAGAGGCAAUGGCACCACCCCGAUACCAUCCCGAUCUCGCUGGUUAAACCCCCAGGUGCCUCAGAUAUUUGCCCCCUCACUGUCGCUCU
rnacentral:rRNA from 1 species